GAUUAUGAUGUAGAAGGUUUACACUAUGAUUGCAAAUCAUAUGAAGAGGUUCGAUUCCUCCGUAAUCUUC
rnacentral:tRNA from 1 species